GACGAACGCUGGCGGCGUGCCUAAUACAUGCAAGUUGAGCGCUGAUUCUUUGUACUUGUACCGCUUGGCUGAGCAUCGAACGGUUGAGUAACGCUUGGUAACUCUGCCUUUGAUUGGGCUUCAACUUUUGGUAACGCAUGCUAAUACGGCAUAAAACCUUUAAACACAAUUUUUAAGUUUGAAAGUUGCUAUUUCAUCCCUUAAAGUUGUUCCUGCCUUGUUUUAGCUAGCUGGUGCGGUAUAGGCGCACCAAGGCGUGGAUACAGAGCCGACCUGAGAGGGUGAUCGGCCACAGUGGGACUGAGACACGGCCCAGACGCCUACAGGAGGCAGCAGUAGGGAAUCUUCGGCAAUGGACGAAAGUCUGACCGAGCAACGCCGAGUGAGUGAAGAAGGGUUUCGGAUCGUAAAAAUCUGUUGGUAGAGAAGAACGGGGGUGAGAGUGGAAAGAUCAUCAAGUGACGGUAACUAACCAGAAAGCGACGGCUAACUACGUG
rnacentral:rRNA from 1 species